UACGAAGGGGGCUAGCGUUGCUCGGAGUCACUGGGCGUAAAGCGCACGUAGGCGGACUCUUAAGUCGGUGGUGAAAUCCUGGAGCUCAACUCCAGAACUGCCUUCGAUACUGAGAGUCUCGAGUCCGGGAGAGGUGAGUGGAACUGCGAGUGUAGAGGUGAAAUUCGUAGAUAUUCGCAAGAACACCAGUGGCGAAGGCGGCUCACUGGCCCGGUACUGACGCUGAGGUGCGAAAGCGUGGGGAGCAAACAGG
rnacentral:rRNA from 1 species